UGUUGGCUAGUUUAGUGAUUUAUGUUCCCAUGAUGUUUGUUCUUUAUUUGAAUGCAAUUAGUUUAAGUUUUGUUACAUGCUCUAGUUUUUGUUUCACUAGAUGUUUACUUGAUGUGUUUUUACUUUCCAUGCUCUAGGUUAGAUUGGAUCAAAAAUCCAGACUACGAACAAAUAUUUUGAAUGGUGAAUGGAGGUAUUCAGAAACUCCAGCUAAACAGCUCGGAUAUAGAUGAUUAUAGGAG